UCGGGAAUUUUGGGCAAUGGGGGAAACCCUGACCCAGCAACGCCGCGUGAGGGAUGAAGGCCCUCGGGUCGUAAACCUCUGUCGGGAGGGAAGAACGAUCGCAGGUCCAAUAGGCCUGCGAUUUGACGGUACCUCCAAGGGAAGCCCCGGCUAACUUCGUGCCAGCAGCCGCGGUAAUACGAAGGGGGCUAGCGUUGUUCGGAAUUACUGGGCGUAAAGGGCGCGUAGGCGGACCUGCCAGUCAGGGGUGAAAUCCCGGGGCUCAACCUCGGAAUUGCCUUUGAUACUGCGGGUCUUGAGGACGGGAGAGGGUCGUGGAAUUCCCAGUGUAGAGGUGAAAUUCGUAGAUAUUGGGAAGAACACCGGUGGCGAAGGCGGCGACCUGGACCGUAUCUGACGCUGAGGCGCGAAAGCGUGGGGAGCAA
rnacentral:rRNA from 1 species